UACGGGGGAAGCAAGCGUUGUUCGGAUUUACUGGGCGUAAAGGGCGCGUAGGCGGCCACCGCAAGUCGACUGUGAAAUCUCCGGGCUUAACCCGGAAAGGUCAGCCGAUACUGCGGGGCUAGAGUGCAGAAGGGGCAACUGGAAUUCUCGGUGUAGCGGUGAAAUGCGUAGAUAUCGAGAGGAACACCUGCGGCGAAGGCGGGUUGCUGGGCUGACACUGACGCUGAUGCGCGAAAGCGUGGGGAGCAAACAGG
rnacentral:rRNA from 1 species